GACGAACCGUGCGAACGUUAUUCGGAAUCACUGGGCUUAAAGAGCGUGUAGGCGGAUAAGCACGUCUGUCGCUGAAAUCCCCCGGCUCAACCGGGGAACGGGCGCGGAUACGGCUCGUCUCGAGGGGCGUAGGGGGACCUGGAACUUCCGGUGGAGCGGUGAAAUGCGUUGAGAUCGGAAGGAACGCCCGUGGCGAAAGCGAGGUCCUGGACGCCUACUGACGCUGAGACGCGAAAGCCAGGGGAGCGAACGGG
rnacentral:rRNA from 1 species